rnacentral:rRNA from 1 species
AUUGAACGCUGGCGGCAUGCUUUACACAUGCAAGUCGAACGGCAGCACGAAAGAGCUUGCUCUUUUGGUGGCGAGUGGCGAACGGGUGAGUAAUGCAUCGGAACGUACCGAGUAAUGGGGGAUAACUGUCCGAAAGGAUAGCUAAUACCGCAUACGCUUUGAGAAGGAAAGUGGGGGCUCUUCGGACCUCACGUUAUUCGAGCGGCCGAUGUCUGAUUAGCUAGUUGGUGGGGUAAAGGCCUACCAAGGCGACGAUCAGUAGCGGGUCUGAGAGGAUGAUUCGCCACACUGGGACUGAGACACGGCCCAGACUCCUACGGGAGGCAGCAGUGGGGAAUUUUGGACAAUGGGCGCAAGCCUGAUCCAGCCAUGCCGCGUGUCUGAAGAAGGCCUUCGGGUUGUAAAGGACUUUUGUUAGGGAAGAAAAGGAUAGUGUUAAUACCAUUAUCUGCUGACGGUACCUAAAGAAUAAGCACCGGCUAACUACGUG